rnacentral:lncRNA from 1 species
GACCAAUCAGAACAGAUUCCAUGGUACCCAUCACUGACCUAAGUUCAUGGUGCUUGUGUUCUGUAAUAGAUGUCACAAUGAAGGAGAAAAAGUGGUGGGAGGGGUGGGUUAUUUGGGAACCAGAAAGGUCAGAUAAGAUGGCACCAGGUGUAAGUGUUGCUUACAGAGUUGAACAGUUUGGGGUGGGUGUGAGGAUAGCUCUCUAGGAACCAUUAACAAAGAUAAAUAUUGUUGCUGGAGGAAUGUUAAUGUCAGGACACGGUGGCUAUUAAUGACAUCAUAACUAGACCCUGUGCCUCCCGCCAUCGUUUUCUCUUUUUAAAUUUUUGGUUAUUUACCUCCUCUCUGAUGCUUAAAUUCCAGAAGAUAGAUUCAUUUUGGUGAGUUGAAGAAACAACCCAAUUGACUACAGUGAAAUCAGCAACAGAAGCUCUUUUUUGAGAAUGAUUUAUUUAGGGUACCAAGACCUGCUUGCCUUUAUGACCUUGCUACCAAUAUUCUCCAUUUGCUCAUCAAUCAACACUGUGGAAGAGCUAUGUGCCAGGCACUGUGCUGGGCACAGUGGGGGAAAUGAGGUGAAGGAGAGCCAGCCCUCUGGCCCUUGAUGGGCUUACAACUGAGCAGAACACACACAUGACAGAGGCUAUCAUGAUGAGGGCUGUCAGCGGCUGAGCCCAGCGCAAAGACUCCUCCUGUGAAGAAAGAAUAAGGUGGUGUGGAAUUUGAGCUGGAACUUAAAGAGUGGGGAAAAUAUGACCGUCUGAAGAAUGAGCAGGGAUUUUUGCACUGGCAGUGGUCAAAAAGGAUGGAACCCUUUCUCAGGAGCAGUAAGUUCCCUGGUUUGACUAGAGUCAAGGUCUAAGGAAGGAAAUGGCAAGACCUAAGAGUGACAGGUACUUCCCUGAGGACAACAUUGCCCUGGGAGUAUUUCCUAAAGGGAACAGAGAAUCUUGGAGAGACAGAGUCCUGGCGAGUUGGGAGAGAGGAAGGAAGCCAGCACAGAGCUCUCAUGCCCUAGAACGGCUCCCUCAAACUCAUCAACUGACCAUUAUUGGGCUCCCAACUUUGGACUUCAAGACAUUUGGAAAAUGUUCAUAAACAUGUUCAGAAUCCCCUGGUGUAAGCAAAACAUUUUUAUAAGCCUGUAAAAUAAAGAAAACUGGCACACAUUUUGUUUGAACA